rnacentral:tRNA from 1 species
GGGAAUGUAGCUCAGUGGCAGAGUGCUUGCCUAGCAUGUAAGAGGACCUGGGUUCAAUCCCCAGUACCA